AUUGAACGCUGGCGGCAGGCCUAACACAUGCAAGUCGAGCGGAUGAAGGGAGCUUGCUCCUGGAUUCAGCGGCGGACGGGUGAGUAAUGCCUAGGAAUCUGCCUGGUAGUGGGGAUAACGUCCGGAAACGGGCGCUAAUACCGCAUACGUCCUGAGGGAGAAAGUGGGGGAUCUUCGGACCUCACGCUAUCAGAUGAGCCUAGGUCGGAUUAGCUAGUUGGUGGGGUAAAGGCCUACCAAGGCGACGAUCCGUAACUGGUCUGAGAGGAUGAUCAGUCACACUGGAACUGAGACACGGUCCAGACUCCUACGGGAGGCAGCAGUGGGGAAUAUUGGACGAUGGGCGAAAGCCUGAUCCAGCCAUGCCGCGUGUGUGAAGAAGGUCUUCGGAUUGUAAAGCACUUUAAGUUGGGAGGAAGGGCAGUAAGUUAAUACCUUGCUGUUUUGACGUUACCAACAGAAUAAGCACCGGCUAACUUCGUG
rnacentral:rRNA from 1 species